rnacentral:rRNA from 1 species
GGUGAACGCUGGCGGCGUGCCUAACACAUGCAAGUCGAGCGGUGCAGUUUGAAGCUUCGGUGGAAAGCUGCAUAGCGGCGGACGGGUGAGGAAAACGUAGGAACGUGCCCCUUGGAGUUGGAUAGCCACGGGAAACUGUGGGUAAACCGACAUAGACUCGAGAGAGUAAAGGCCGAAAGGCGCCAAGGGAGCGGCCUGCGGCCCAUCAGGUAGUUGGUAGUGUAAAGGACUACCAAGCCGACGACGGGUAGCCGGUCUGAGAGGAUGGCCGGCCACAAGGGCACUGAGAGACGGGCCCUACUCCUACGGGAGGCAGCAGUGGGGGAUUUUGGACAAUGGGCGAAAGCCUGAUCCAGCGACGCCGCGUGGAGGACGAAGCCCUUCGGGGUGUAAAACUCCUUUUCUCAGGGAAAAAGGAUGAUGGUACCUGAGGAAUAAGCCCCGGCUAACUACGUGCCAGCAGCCCGGUAAUAGUCACGUCG